rnacentral:rRNA from 1 species
UACGUAGGGGGCAAGCGUUGUCCGGAUUUAUUGGGCGUAAAGAGCGUGUAGGCGGCUUGGUAGGUCCGCUGUGAAAACUCGAGGCUCAACCUCGAGACGCCGGUGGAAACCAUCAGGCUAGAGUCCGGAAGAGGAGAGUGGAAUUCCUGGUGUAGCGGUGAAAUGCGCAGAUAUCAGGAAGAACACCCGUGGCUAAGGCGGCUCACUGGCCCGGUACUGACGCUGAGGUGCGAAAGCGUGGGGAGCAAACAGG